AGGAUUAGAGCUUGCAUUAGUCGAGUUGGCGGGGCUCUCUGACUCAGCAAUUCGAGUCAAGUAGCAGGUCUCGGAGAUAUUGAACUCACGGGCUACCGCUUGCAGCCACUUCUCGUCCCUCUCUUCAUCUAAAAGACAGACUGCUG